CUACCGGUUCUCGUUCGAUCACCGAAGUCAAGCAUCAUGGGGCGCGUUCAGUACUAGGAGGGUGACCACCUGGGAACACCGCGUGCCGUU